CCUUUCGUCGUUCAAUGGAUAGGACGCAGGCCUCCGAAGCCUGAAAUGGUGGUUCGAUUCCACCCGAAAGGA
rnacentral:tRNA from 1 species